rnacentral:rRNA from 1 species
GAUGAACGCUGGCGGCGUGCCUAAUACAUGCAAGUCGAGCGAACAGACGAGGAGCUUGCUCCUCUGACGUUAGCGGCGGACGGGUGAGUAACACGUGGAUAACCUACCUAUAAGACUGGGAUAACUUCGGGAAACCGGAGCUAAUACCGGAUAAUAUAUUGAACCGCAUGGUUCAAUAGUGAAAGACGGUUUUGCUGUCACUUAUAGAUGGAUCCGCGCCGCAUUAGCUAGUUGGUAAGGUAACGGCUUACCAAGGCAACGAUGCGUAGCCGACCUGAGAGGGUGAUCGGCCACACUGGAACUGAGACACGGUCCAGACUCCUACGGGAGGCAGCAGUAGGGAAUCUUCCACAAUGGGCGAAAGCCUGACGGAGCAACGCCGCGUGGGUGAUGAAGGUCUUCGGAUCGUAAAACUCUGUUAUUAGGGAAGAACAAAUGUGUAAGUAACUAUGCACGUCUUGACGGUACCUAAUCAGAAAGCCACGGCUAACUACGUG